GAUGAACGCUGGCGGCGUGCCUAAUACAUGCAAGUCGAGCGAACAGACGAGGAGCUUGCUCCUCUGACGUUAGCGGCGGACGGGUGAGUAACACGUGGAUAACCUACCUAUAAGACUGGGAUAACUUCGGGAAACCGGAGCUAAUACCGGAUAAUAUAUUGAACCGCAUGGUUCAAUAGUGAAAGACGGUUUUGCUGUCACUUAUAGAUGGAUCCGCGCCGCAUUAGCUAGUUGGUAAGGUAACGGCUUACCAAGGCGACGAUGCGUAGCCGACCUGAGAGGGUGAUCGGCCACACUGGAACUGAGACACGGUCCAGACUCCUAAGGGAGGCAGCAGUAGGGAAUCUUCCGCAAUGGGCGAAAGCCUGACGGAGCAACGCCGCGUGAGUGAUGAAGGGCUUCGGAUCGUAAAACUCUGUUAUUAGGGAAGAACAAAUGUGUAAGUAACUAUGCACGUCUUGACGGUACCUAAUCAGAAAGCCACGGCUAACUACGUG
rnacentral:rRNA from 1 species